AUUGAACGCUGGCGGCAGGCCUAACACAUGCAAGUCGAGCGGAUGAAGGGAGCUUGCUCCUGGAUUCAGCGGCGUACGGGUGAGUAAUGCCUAGGAGUCUGCCUGGUAGUGGGGGAUAACGUCCGGAAACGGGCGCUAAUACCGCAUACGUCCUGAGUGAGAAAGUGGGGGAUCUUCGGACCUCACGCUAUCAGAUGAGCCUAGGUCGGAUUAGCUAGGUGGUGGGGUAAAGGCCUACCAAGGCGACGAUCCGUAACUGGUCUGAGAGGAUGAUCAGUCACACUGGAACUGAGACACGGUCCAGACUCCUACGGGAGGCAGCAGUGGGGAAUAUUGGACAAUGCGCGAAAGCCUGAUCCAGCCAUGCCGCGUGUGUGAAGAAGGUCUUCGGAUUGUAAAGCACUUUAAGUUGGGAGGAAGGGCAGUAAGUUAAUACCUUGCUGUUUUGACGUUACCAACAGAAUAAGCACCGGCUAACUUCGUG
rnacentral:rRNA from 1 species